rnacentral:tRNA from 1 species
AAAUCUUAUAUUUUAUAAAAAAAAAUAUUAAAUUGCAAAUUUAAAGAAGAUUAAUCUAAGAUUU